CCUGAAAAACUAAAGAUGAAUGUCAAGUUUUAAUCCGAACUCUAAAAACACAACAAACUGAUUUAAAAUAGAAAGAAAUGUAGCUCAAGUUUACUCCAGUUUAAAUAAGAUUUUCUUUGUUGGUUUUGCUUGGUGGAUUUUAUGUUUGUUUGAAGCUGAAAGAAACUUUAGCAUCACUUCCUACUUUUGAAUUUAUUGUUUGUUUUUCACAUUUUAAGACCAAAUCUGAACACUCGGAUUCAAAUCUAAAAUGUUUUUAUUUUCCUUUAAUUAUCUACUAAUGUUAGACUUUAUUUAGCUCCAUUCUGAAAGAUAUCUCAUAAAUGACUCAUUUUUCAUUUUACACCAAAAAUGUAACACAUGUCCAUGUGUGGAAAUAACCCAUGACUCAUUGCUUCUGUUGCCACAGGGGUUUUCACAGGCAGCAGGAAAGAUAAACACAAGGAUGUUCGGGAUAGAGUGGCAUCUCCAGUGCUGAUGUCUUUCGCGAGUUUUCUGUCCUCGCGUCUCUCCAGCCCGAGAAGCUGAGGAGAAGAAGCAUGCAGUUCAGCCUUUGUCAGAAGCUGUAGUGACCGACAGACCAUCUCUUUGAUGCCCAUUCUUUAGUCAAUAUGUGUUAAAAUAGAAGCAGUUGAACUGAAUGUUUCAUAUUACUUACAUUGUUUGACUCUUGUUUUUUCUAGUAAGGUAGCUCAUAAUACAUGGUUAAAUAUUUAAAGGACUCAGGAGGCAAUAAAUCUAGCUUUUGCACAGUACUCUGCACUCUCAGUAUGUGGAAUUGCAUCUCUAAUCUUUGGCAUCUCAUUUUCUAUGUUAAUUUAUUUUUUUUUUCUCUGCUUGGCAAAUGAAUUCGCACACUGAUGAAAUGGGUGUGGAUGUUUUUCUUUUGUUGUCAGCAAUGAGUCAAGCUUGUGCUCAAAUGUGAUGAGAAAUGACUGUUGUCUCGUAUAAUUUAAAGAAAAACAACGGUGAAGGAAGCCAUGAGGUUUCAGCUUUGCAUAUUUUUCUCGAUGAGAUUAAGUCUGGGUGUUGGCCAUGCCAAAAUCUCAAGGUCAUCCCAAUGAAUUGGAAUAAUAUUAAAAAGUUUAUUUAAUUCAAAAAGGUGAAAUGAUGAUGAUGAUGAUGAUGAUGAUGAUGGCUUACUGAUAAUGAAAACCCAAAAUUCAGUUUCUCCGUUGAUUAAAAUAAAAUCAUAAAAUGAACAAAAAGCUGUUUAAUUGUGAGUCUACUGAAAAGUUUGUCUGUGUCAGAGUUUAGCUGUAAGCUCUGAUCAUCAAAAUGAUAUGAAAUAAACAUAAAUAUAAAUCAGUAUGCAGUAGAUUUUUUGUUAUAACCUGAAUUUAACCAUUAAUCAUCUUUUUUUGUUGAUGUCUAAAAAUAAAAGAAAGCUUAAAGAACAUUGGAAAUGGUUUUGCUGGAAUAUUCAUACUCUAUGAUGAAUAGGGUAGAAAUGAAAUAAAAGAAGCAAAUUU